rnacentral:rRNA from 1 species
CAAUAGCGUAUAUUAAAGCUGUUGCGGCUAAAAAGCUCGUAGUUGGAUUUCUGUCAAGGACAACUGGUCCGCCCCUCGGGUGAGCACAUAGUUUGGUCUUGGCAUCUUGUUGGAAACUGUUGCUGCACUUGGUUGUGUGGCGCAGUGUCCAGCACUUUCACUUUGAGGAAAUUGGAGUGUUUCAAGCAGGCACAUGCCUUUGGACACAGUAGCAUGGAAUAAUUAGAUUGGGCUUUUGCUCCAACUUGUCGGUUUCUGGAGCUGAGGUGAGAAUUAAUGGGGAUUGUUGGGGGCAUCCGAAUUUAGCCGUCAGAGGUGAAAUUCUUGGAUCUGCUAAAGACGGACAACUGCGAAAGCGUUUGCCAAGGAUGUUUUCAUUGA